rnacentral:tRNA from 1 species
ACCUGGCUGGCUCAGUGGGUGGACGUGUGACUCUUGAUCUCAUGGUCAUGAGUUCGAGCCCCAUGUCAGGUG